rnacentral:misc_RNA from 1 species
UCUCCGUUGGUGAACCAGCGGAGGGAUCAUUACUGAGUUACCGCUCUACAACCCUCUGUGAACAUACCUAACUGUUGCUUCGGCGGGCAGAGGUCCCUCGCGGAUCUCUCCCGGCAACGCCCUCACGGGCGGAGCGCCCGCCGGAGGAUACCAAACUCUAUUUUAACGACGUUUCUUCUGAGUGGCACAAGCAAAUAAUUAAAACUUUUAACAACGGAUCUCUUGGUUCUGACAUCGAUGAAGAACGCAGC